GACGAACGCUGGCGGCGUGCCUAAUACAUGCAAGUUGAGCGCUGAAGGUUGGUACUUGUACCAACUGGAUGAGCAGCGAACGGGUGAGUAACGCGUGGGGAAUCUGCCUUUGAGCGGGGGACAACAUUUGGAAACGAAUGCUAAUACCGCAUAAAAACUUUAAACACAAGUUUUAAGUUUGAAAGAUGCAAUUGCAUCACUCAAAGAUGAUCCCGCGUUGUAUUAGCUAGUUGGUGAGGUAAAGGCUCACCAAGGCGAUGAUACAUAGCCGACCUGAGAGGGUGAUCGGCCACAUUGGGACUGAGACACGGCCCAAACGCCUACGGGAGGCAGCAGUAGGGAAUCUUCGGCAAUGGACGCAAGUCUGACCGAGCAACGCCGCGUGAGUGAAGAAGGUUGUCGGAUCGUAAAACUCUGUUGGUAGAGAAGAACGUUGGUGAGAGUGGAAAGCUCAUCAAGUGACGGUAACUACCCAGAAAGGGACGGCUAACUACGUG
rnacentral:rRNA from 1 species